rnacentral:lncRNA from 1 species
AGUUCCACCAGUAGAAUCCACAACAGAACUAGUUCCACCAGUAGAAUCAAGGCUUUGAGACAACAGAUGCAUCACUCAAGGCCAUGGAGAACAAACUUGGAGCACUCACCAACCUCUUCACAGACAAGACAAAUGGGAUGCCAAGCACAACUAUCCCCAAUCCCAAAACAUGGAGAGUUUGUGGAAGUAGUGACACUAAGGAGUGGGAAGGAACUUCCUGACUAUCCAAUGAAA